UUCUGCUUAGCUCAGUUGGUAGAGGGCUUCACUGGAAAUGGAGAGGUCUCUGGUUUGAUACCAGGAAUAGGUG
rnacentral:tRNA from 1 species